rnacentral:rRNA from 1 species
UACGUAGGGGGCAAGCGUUGUCCGGAAUCAUUGGGCGUAAAGAGCGUGUAGGCGGCCAGAAAAGUCCGCUGUGAAAACUCGAGGCUCAACUUCGAGCUGUCGGUGGAAACUUUCUGGCUAGAGUCCGGAAGAGGAGAAUGGAAUUCCGUGGUGUAGCGGUGAAAUGCGCAGAUAUCAGGAAGAACACCCGUGGCGAAGGCGGUUCUCUGGGACGGUACUGACGCUGAGACGCGAAAGCGUGGGGAGCGAACGGG